AAUAAUUAAAAAUAAGUAGAUAUAAAUAAAUUAGCUUAUUAUAAUAUGCGAAUUUCGUUAGCCUGUUCCGAAUUGUGCAAGAUUUGAAUAUGAACUAAUUUAAAGAUAGAUCAAGUGAAUUUCAAUUGAUUGCUCUUUGAAAAUAAUGAAUUUGAAAAGAAGCCCCAUUUAAAAAUAGUUCACAUAUGUCGAAAAUUCAAAAGUCUUAAACAAUUUGAACAAUUCUCGGAAUACGUUAAAGCUUUUCAUUUUCGUUUGCGAGUGCUUUUCAACGAAUUCGCAAUUCGGAACAUGGCUAAUUAUAUAUUUACAGUCCCGUGCGUCCUUCAAAGUAGCUGCUGCUCUGCUCCGAGCUCUGUCUGUUCCAAUUAGCCGGCGACCCAUUUGUGCAAAAAUGAAAAAAAAAAAAAUUAAAUUAUGAUUUCCAUUAGAAGAAGCGCCGAGAAUAAGAAGCAGCAGCAGCGGUACUAGCACAUAUGCACGUGGCAUUGUGAAUGCCAUUGCUCCAAUUGUGAAUGAUAAGUGUGCAGCACGCAAAUCCUUUCAUGGCCGAGGUCAAAACUAUUAGUGCACAUCCAAUUUGUGACAAUAUUUGAGAAUUUGAUUUUCAUUGCUGCUCAGCGAACCUGUUAACAAUUUAUUCAAAUCAUUUGACCAAAUGCCGUUGUUGACCAUUAAUAAAACUGUCACAUUUUCUAAAUGCA